AAAAGGUCUAAACCCCUCCACAGUGAUGCCUCCUAGACAAGUUCGUGAGCUGCGCCCUCGUACAAGGAGAGCCAUGAUUCGAGCUCAAAAGAAGGCCGAGCAACAGCAACAGGGUACAAACAACACAAGUAAAAGAAAAAAAACAAGGAGGUGGAAGAAGAAGCAGUGAGCGCAUGAAACAGAACGCACUUUCUCACAUGACUUUGAGUUUGACCUCUAUUUGCCAGCCAUAACGCGAUCUUGGCAUAACUACUCAGAUGAUUGAGGAUUUUCUAGUACCAUAUUUUGAGCUUGGAAUUUAUUUUUCUGGUUAAUGGAUGCAUGUAUUUUUCAUUACUUUGAUAUAUUUAGGACAAAAAUAUACACUUUGAGCAUCAUUAUUGUCACCUAAUGCACCAAUAAAAUCAUUCUCUUGUACUCUGGCCAGUAUGCUCUCUUAUGUAGAACUACUAGUUAGUAGUAAGGUGUGAACUGAUAAUGUGUAGUCAAUACUGAAUAUUGACAAUUCUUGUUUCUCCAAGAGGAAUAGUCC
rnacentral:lncRNA from 1 species